AUUGAACGCUAGCGGCAUGCCUUACACAUGCAAGUCGAACGAGAGGCGGACGGGUGAGUAAUAUAUCGGAACGUGCCCAGUAGAGGGGGAUAACUACUCGAAAGAGUGGCUAAUACCGCACACUAUUGGAUCGGCCGAUAUCGGAUUAGCUAGUGGGUGGGGUAAAGGCUCACAAAGGCAAGGAUCCGUAGCUGGUGUGAGAGGAAGACCAGCCACACUGGGACUGAGACACGGCCCAGACUCCUACGGGAGGCAGCAGUGGGGAAUUUUGGACAAUGGGGGAAACCCUGAUCCAGCCAUCCCGCGUGUGUGAGAAGGCCUUCGGGUUGUAAAGUACUUUUGGCAGAGAAGCGGUAUCUGCAGAAUAAGCACCGGCUAACUACGUGCCAGCCGCCGCGGUAAUUC
rnacentral:rRNA from 1 species